AAACACUUUAAUGCAUGAACGUUAUGGUGUUUUGGUAUUUUCUUGUUUAAGUAUCCGAUGAUGAGGAAGAUUUUCCAACCUCACGGCCAGAUGGAGAUUAUCUUCUUAACAACAACAACAGCAGCAAAGAGAAAUUGUUCUCUGUGGACAGCCUCAAAGGAUCCUUAGGCAUCGAUUUCAAAGGUGAAGCCAUCACAUUUAAAGCUACCACAGCAGGAAUAUUGUCUACACUGUCCCACUGCAUCGACAUGUUGGUCAAAAGAGAAGAAAGCUG